rnacentral:rRNA from 1 species
GCGGUGGCGGCGGCUAUACAUGCAGUAGAACGCUGAAGAGAGGAGCUUGCUCUUCUUGGAUGAGUUGCGAACGGGUGAGUAACGCGUAGGUAACCUGCCUUGUAGCGGGGGAUAACUAUUGGAAACGAUAGCUAAUACCGCAUAACAAUGGAUGACACAUGUCAUUUAUUUGAAAGGGGCAAUUGCUCCACUACAAGAUGGACCUGCGUUGUAUUAGCUAGUAGGUGAGGUAAUGGCUCACCUAGGCGACGAUACAUAGCCGACCUGAGAGGGUGAUCGGCCACACUGGGACUGAGACACGGCCCAGACUCCUACGGGAGGCAGCAGUAGGGAAUCUUCGGCAAUGGGGGCAACCCUGACCGAGCAACGCCGCGUGAGUGAAGAAGGUUUUCGGAUCGUAAAGCUCUGUUGUAAGUCAAGAACGGGUGUGAGAGUGGAAAGUUCACACUGUGACGGUAGCUUACCAGAAAGGGACGGCUAACUACGUGCCAGCAGCCGCGGUAAUACGUAGGUCCCGAGCGUUGUCCGGAUUUAUUGGGCGUAAAGCGAGCGCAGGCGGUUUGAUAAGUCUGAAGUUAAAGGCUGUGGCUCAACCAUAGUUCGCUUUGGAAACUGUCAAACUUGAGUGCAGAAGGGGAGAGUGGAAUUCCAUGUGUAGCGGUGAAAUGCGUAGAUAUAUGGAGGAACACCGGUGGCGAAAGCGGCUCUCUGGUCUGUAACUGACGCUGAGGCUCGAAAGCGUGGGGAGCGAACAGGAUUAGAUACCCUGGUAGUCCACGCCGUAAACGAUGAGUGCUAGGUGUUGGAUCCUUUCCGGGAUUCAGUGCCGCAGCUAACGCAUUAAGCACUCCGCCUGGGGAGUACGACCGCAAGGUUGAAACUCAAAGGAAUUGACGGGGGCCCGCACAAGCGGUGGAGCAUGUGGUUUAAUUCGAAGCAACGCGAAGAACCUUACCAGGUCUUGACAUCCCGAUGCUAUUUCUAGAGAUAGAAAGUUACUUCGGUACAUCGGUGACAGGUGGUGCAUGGUUGUCGUCAGCUCGUGUCGUGAGAUGUUGGGUUAAGUCCCGCAACGAGCGCAACCCCUAUUGUUAGUUGCCAUCAUUCAGUUGGGCACUCUAGCGAGACUGCCGGUAAUAAACCGGAGGAAGGUGGGGAUGACGUCAAAUCAUCAUGCCCCUUAUGACCUGGGCUACACACGUGCUACAAUGGUUGGUACAACGAGUUGCGAGUCGGUGACGGCGAGCUAAUCUCUUAAAGCCAAUCUCAGUUCGGAUUGUAGGCUGCAACUCGCCUACAUGAAGUCGGAAUCGCUAGUAAUCGCGGAUCAGCACGCCGCGGUGAAUACGUUCCCGGGCCUUGUACACACCGCCCGUCACACCACGAGAGUUUGUAACACCCGAAGUCGGUGAGGUAACCUUUUGGAGCCAGCCGCUAAGUGAGAAAGU